rnacentral:lncRNA from 1 species
CUCGUUCUUCUCUUGUCUGCCACCAUGAAAAACAUGCCGUUUGCCUUCCUCCAUGAUUCUGAGGCCACCCCAGUCACAUGGCACUGAAAACAGCCUGUUCAUUUCAUGGAAGGACGUUUUGGAAAAAUAGAUCCAGACCUACAUAGAAAGGUAUGACAGCUACCUUAAUUCAUCCAUCAAGACCUUUCUUCUUAAUUGUGAAUUACCAACUAUAGAUCAUCAGAGAAUUUAAGAAAAUCGACAAACUAAAUGCAAAGAAACAAGCUAAUGAAAUAGAACAAAUGACUAAAGGAAACAGAAGUAAUUCAAUGAACAUAAGAAAACUUAAAAAAUAUUCUAAUUACAUUCUCAGAAAGAUUUGAGUGCACACUACAUACAUUAGAAGAGAAAAAUAAAGGAAAAUCAGACUGCUAUGAAAACCAAGUUUCCCACUUCAUGCUAAAAAGUGGUAACAUUGCAUGUCAGACUGAAGAAAGACACCUGAGUCUAUGUUGAGUUGUGUUUGGCCCCUUGCAAGGUUGUCAUAAAUGAUUCAUUGUUUUGGCUUAAGGGGCUUUCAGCUGGAUGACAAAGCAUAAGGACAAAAAAUAUGAAAUUUGUCAUUAAAUGUCUUCAUCAUUUAGCCUGUUUAAUUGUGCUAAGAUCUUUUAAGAAACAAUGAAUACAGAGAUUUCCAGAUUAUACUUCCAUGAAAGCCUAAAUCUUCUCAGGUAUUCACAGUUUAAAAAAAUUGAAGUAUACCAAAUGAUAUCCAAGUUUACUGUGAAAGCAAAUGGCCCAUAAAAUUUUGCAUUUACAUUUGAAUUUUAAUCUAGAGAGAAGGAGACCACAUAAGUAAAACACAAUCUAUCUCAUAGGCUGAAGCGUCAGGUAUUACAAAUGUAUGUGGUUAGCUUCUCUUUAUUUAGUUCUCAUUGAUUUAGGUACUAAUUCUACCCAUUCUUUGCUUUAAUCAUUUAGUAUUAAGAAAUAUUGACUUUCAUCAGAGCUUAAUAUACAACUGGCUCCAAAUCUAGAAAAUCAAUUUAAAUUCUUUAUAGUAGUAUGUAAUUGGUUAAUUCAGUCAUUUUUAAAACAAUAUAUUUGUUUAAAAAUAUUUAUUUUGCUAACCAGCUACCAGACAUUGUUCUAGGUAAUUCUUACAGAAGUGCGUAAGACAGAUAGUGUGGCUUCCCACAUAGGGCAUAUAGAUUACAAAGAGAAGACAUAGCUAAAGAAUUAAACCAAUAAUAAAAACAUCAAAUUCUCUGAAAAAAAGAGCUGCUGCCAGUAUCAGUGAAUACUUCUUUCAUGUAACACAAACUGACACUUAAAGAAAAAAAAAAAAACACUCAGCCAUGCAAAGAUGUAAGUAAAGAGAAUUCUGGGUGGAAAGAAUAGGAUAAGUGAAAUAUUUCAAGCAUGGAAGAUCUAGGAAUCUUUCAGGAACUGAAAGGAGGCCAGUAUGAUUGGAAUAGAGAAAAUAGGUAGGCCAGGAGGUCAGAUGAUGUAGGCAUUGAAGGACAAGAUAGGAGUUUGCAUGCUGGUCAACAAUUUUAAAUCAGAGGGAGGGAGAGGGAGAGGAAAAGGGAGAGAGGCAGAGAGUGAGAGAGAGGUAGAGAGAAAGAGAGAGAGGGAGUGAGAAAGAGAGAUCAAAUUUACUUAUUUUGCCAAUAGAACUGUUGUGUGAAAAAUGAACUGAAAGGAAGUAAGGGGAGAAAAACAGCAAAGAGCACAUUUAGGAAGUGAAGAUAAUGAGAGUCCACUCAAUGAUAAAGGUUUGGACUUGGACAGUUUAGUAGAGAAGUACACAAGAACGGUUGUGAAAUAUAUCUUAGAAGUAUAAUUUGUGGAGUUUUGCUGAUUGAUUAAAUAUGAGGCAUGAGAAGAAGGAGAGAAAGGAAUGAAAUAUGUCUACCAGGAAUAUGGGUUGAACCAUUGAGUAGAUGGUGGUGCAGGUGCAAUUUACUGAAGAUCUGGGAUGAACAGGUUUUGGAGUGAAGAUCCAAGUCCACUUUUUUAUGUAUUAAAUUUAAGAUACAUUUUAGACAUUAGGAGACAUUUGUGGCCACUAUGACAUAUAAGGCUUUAGCUUAUUUGAGAGGUUCAGACUGGAAAUAUCUAUUUGAGUAGUUAGUAUUUUAUGUGCAAGCCAUAUAAUUGAAUGAUAUUACAUAGAGAAAAAGUGUAGAGUGAGAAAAGGAGAGGAUCAAAGACUAAGCACUAUAGAAUGCCUACAUUUUUAUUGUAAUUAUUAUUAUUAUUAUUCUUAUUCUGAGACAGAGUUUCACUCCUGUCGCCCAGGCUGGAGUGCAAUGGCACGAUCUCUGCUCACUGCAACCUUUGCCUCCCGGGUUCAAGCGAUUCUCUGCCUCAGCCUCCCAAGUAGCUUGGAUUACAGGCACGUGACACCACGCCUGGCUAAUUUUUUUGUAUUUUUAGUAGAAACGGGGUUUCACCAUGUUAGCCAGGCUAGUCUCGAACUCUUGACCUCAGGUGAUCCACCCACGUCGGCAUCCCAGAGUGCUGGGAUUACAGGCGUGAGCCACUGUGCUUGGCCUAUUUAUUUUUUAAAUUGACAAAAUUCUAUACAUUUAUUGUGUAUGAUGUUGUGUUUUAAAAUAUUUUAUGCAUUGUGGAAUGGCUAAAACAAGCUAAUUAAUAUAUGCAUUACUUCAUACCCUUACAAUUUUUUGUGUGUGAUGAAAACAUUAAAGUCUACUCUUAGCAAUUUUCGAAUAUACAAUACAUUGUUAUUAACUACAGAAACCAUGAUGUUCAAUAGAUCUAUUGAACUUAUUCCUCUGUCUCACUGAAAUUUUGUAUCUUUUGACCAACAUCUUCCCAAUUACCACUCACCGACAGUCCUUGGUAAGAAACAUUCUACUCUGUUUCUAUGAGUUUGACUUACUUAGAUUCCACAUAUAAAUGAGAUCAUAUGGCAUUUGUUUCUCUGAGCCUGGCUUAUUUUGCUUAACAUAGUAUCCUUCAGGUUCAUUCAUGUUGUCUCCAAUGCCAGGAUUUCCUUUAUCUUAAGGCAGAAUAGUAUUCCACUGUUACGCCACAUCUUCCAUUUAUCCACUACUGGACACCUUGGUUGAUUUUAUAUUUUGGCUAUUGUGAAUAGUGCUGCAGUGAACAUGGGAGUGUAGAUAUUUCUUUGACAUGUUGACUUCAUUUCCUUUGGAUAUAUACCCAGUAGUGAGAUUGCUGGAUAAUACGGUAGUUCUAUUUUUAAUUUUUUGUGGGACCUCCAUUGUGUUUUCCAUAAUAGCUGUACUAAUUUACAUUCCCAUCCACACUGUACAAGGAUUCGCUUUUCUUGCAUUCUCAUCAACACUUGUUAUCUUUCAUUUUUCUGAGACUAGACAUUCUAACAAGUGGAAGGUAAUAUCUCAUUAUGGCUUUAAUUUGAAUUUUUCUGAUAAUUGGUGAAGUUGAGUAUUUUUUUCAUAUGCUUGUUGGCCAUUUGUAUGUCAUCUUUGGAGAAAUGUAUUCAGAUCCUUUGCCCAUUAUUUUUUAAUUGGGUUAUUUUUUUCUAUUGAGUUGUUUCAUUCCUUAUGUGUUUUGAAUAUUAAUCCCUUAGCAGAUGUAUGGUUUGCAAUUUUUUUUCAUUCUAUAGGUUUUCUCUUCAUUCUGUCAAAUAUUUCUUUGCUGGGCAGAAGCUUUUUAGUUUGAUGUAAUCUCACUUCUCUAUUUUUGCUAUUGUUGCCUGUGAUUUGGGAGCUACAUCCAAAAAAUCACCACUGAGACUGAUGAUACAAAGCUUUCCCUCUGUUUUCUUCUAGUCUUUUUACAGUUUCAAGUCUUAGGUUUUAGUGAACUACAUUUUAAGUCCAAGUCAAAGAUCUGAAACUGGAAAAGGAGAGUUAUGAGUGGACAAAGAGAUAAACCCGUUUAAAGAAGUACAGAAUAGCUCAUGAUAUUAAAUGAUGUUCGUUGCUUUAUUUUUAAAAAUUGUGCCUGUUGGACAUGGAAACAAGAAGUAUUUGGUGAUCCCAGUCAGUGCAGUUCAAUUUCAUUGAACUAAUUGGAACAGCAGCAAGGUCAUGGUGGGAGAGUGAAUGUGAAGUAAGAAAGUGGAGACAAAGAAAUUGUAUGAAGAAUUGUUUCUAUGAAUGGGAACACAGUUGGAGAGGUUUGGAGGGACAAGUAAUAAUAUUGAUUUUAAAUAUGGGAGGUAUAAGAGAUUCCUUUUUAAAAAGUUCUUGAUAAAAUGAGAGACAUAGAUGAGUCAUUUCUGGAAUCUUUGACUAAGGCAAUAACAACUUAUUCAUUUUAUUUUAUCUUUUAUUCUGAAUGAUGAUGAUGAUGAUUUUUUUAAAGUAAAUACUAUCUUCCUGUAUCUCUAAAAAAAAUGACAGCAUGUACUUUUCAUAGAAUGGGACCUGAAUGAGGGUUUAUUGAAGAGUGAAUAAAUGUACACAUUAGUAUAAAUACAGAUGUUCUUAUAUGUCAGGUAUAUAUUAGAAAAAGACAAUUUUGUUCUUUACUGCUCAAACUCAACACAGAACAUUUCUGUGACCCCAGAUGUGUAUGUUUGUGUGUUUUUUUCCCCACAUUGACCAAUUCUCCAACACUAGCCUGUUGGGCUAUAAUUAAAUUCAGUCCUGGCAUGAUCUACCUAGAGCGAGAGUCAAAUUCCACAGAUGAAGGCCUCAGUCCUACAAGACUGUACCCUACUUCAGAUUUAAUCAUAAGUCCAAGUCUCCAUCUCCAAUACAUCUGAUCAAUUGGCUACAUAUUGGGCUUCCCAUAACCCUCUCCUCAGCUUCCAUCAUUUGAUCUAAUGGCUUAUGGAAAUCAAGGAAAUGCUUUGCUUACUACUGCCUAUUUAUUUCAAUGGAUAUGUUAAAGGAUACCAAUGAGCAGCUAGAUGAAGAGGUACAGACAGUGAGGUUUGGAAGGGUCCCAAGUGCAGGAACUUCUGUCCCCAUGGAGAUGGAAUGUGCCAUGCUACUGGGACGUAGAUGUGUUCAGCAACCCAGAAGCUCUCCAAACACUGUCCUUUGAGGAUUUUAUAGAGGAUUCAUUAUGUACAUAUAAUUAAUUACAUAAUUGGCCAUUGGUUAUUAGCUUUACCUUCAGCCCCUCUUUCCUCCCUGGAUGUUGGGGGCUGGGGCUCAAAAUUUCAAUUCUUUAAUCACAGGCUGGUUCCCCUGGCAACCAGCCCCCAUCCUGGAUAAUAUCCAGGAUGCCCCCAUAUCCAGGAACCCACAGCCAUGCUAGUAAUCUCACUAGGACACAAAAAUACACUUAUAACUUUAGAGAUUUCAAGGGUUUUAAAAGCUAUGCACCAAGAAAUGACUGCAAAGACCGUAAAUAUAUUUAUUAUUGUGUCAUAUCAGGUUACUUUAAGCUUGUCCAUUCUGUUUUUUCAUCUUCUCAAAAUAUGUGCCAGAACAUUGUUUGUUUAUAUGCCAUUAAUAUUGAUACUUAAAAAUAAAUAAGUUGGUUUGCUAAAACCAAAACACGUUUCUGAAGAGUUUUGACUUAUCUCUCAAAAAAAAAAUAGGAAGAAUAAUGAUUCAGUUAGCAAUUUAAAAACAUUCAUUAAUCCCUUUCUAGAUAUAAAGCAUUAUGAUAAACCAUGUAAGAGAUUUCAAAUAACUUAUUUGUGGCCAAUAAUUGGGAAAUGUAUGGUAUUUAAUAGUAUGUAUUUCUUUCAUUUCUCCCAAUCAGAACUUCUAAUAAUCUUACUUUUUAAAAUUUUAUCAUAUUUUAUUAUUUAUUUUAAUAUUAUUUUAAUCAUCAUACUCUAACUCCACAAGCAAUGUUAAAUUCUUUAUGGAUUUAUGAUUAAUGUUGUAUGCAAAGGUGAAUGAAUGAAUGAGUCAGUGUAUAAAUAAAGAGUUCAUACAUAAAUAAAGACACAUAUCUCAUCCCAAUGUAUAGUUUUAAUUUGGGGACAGGGAGUUGAAUUUUGGGGUAGAGAUAUAGAUAACUAAAAAUUGUCUAUAAAAAGUAUUUAAGAAGUUUGUAAUUUUACUGAAUUUCUGGAGUGAGAAUAUCAUGUUUUAUGGCAGAGGAAGUAGCAUUUUGAGAGUUUGAGAUAGCCCUAAUUGUUUUAUAGAAUUAAAACAUGUAUAUAACCAAAGCAGUGAUGUAAUCCAUG